UCAGGGACAACAAGACAUGCAAAAUUCCUUUUACUCUUCUUUUCCCGCUGACCACCCUAUAACAAAGACCAUGAUUGGGUUGCCAUCUCUGGUGCAGGUACUUGUAGUGGUCUCAGCCAUAUAAUCUGGAUUUAUGGUCUCAUCAUUUUACUACUACUGAUAGAUUAAAUACAAAGGUUAUUAUUUGUAAACUUAUAUUACAGGGUGCAUCCCCUAACCUGAACAAUGGUUCCGACCGAACUGCGAAGCCUCGAGUAAGGGCACGUCGAGGUCAGGCUACUGAUCCACACAGCAUUGCAGAGAGGGUCAGUUGUAAUGUUU
rnacentral:lncRNA from 1 species